rnacentral:antisense_RNA from 1 species
CUCUUCCCCACCAGGGUCCUCAGCCACACACCCCGAGCCCUGCCUGCGGGCCCAGCCCCCCCAUUUCCGGAGCCUGCACCCCGGACCCAGCGGGGGCCGAUCCCUGGGAAAGGCCUGGCUUCCUUUUCCUUCCUGUCCCUGCCCCACCUCCGCCGGGCUCCACAGCCGCCGGGAGUCCAGGGCCGAGACGGGAGGAGGGUACCCACCUGGUCGGUGUCACAUGCUGCUUCGGCCCCAGCGUCCCCUCCAGGUCCCGGCGCCGGCCGCAGUCCCCAGCGCCGUCCCCAGCGCAGGCCCGGCCGCCCCACCCGCGGCCCGCCCCUGGCCGCCCGACGGGAGGGAGGGAUCGGGUUCUCCUAGGAAGUUUCAG